CUGGCGGCGUGCCUAACACAUGCAAGUCGAACGAAGCACUUCUGAUCUGAGAUUCGUCAAGGAUCGGAUUUGACUUAGUGGCGGACGGGUGAGUAAUACAUGAGCAACCUGCCCUGAGGAGGGGGACAACAGUUGGAAACGACUGCUAAUACCGCAUGAUGUAUCUGGAAGGCAUCUUCCGGAUACCAAAGAUUUAUCGCCUUGGGAUGGGCUCAUGUCUGAUUAGCUAGUUGGUGGGGUAACGGCCCACCAAGGCUGCGAUCAGUAGCCGGACUGAGAGGUUGAACGGCCACAUUGGGACUGAGAUACGGCCCAGACUCCUACGGGAGGCAGCAGUGGGGAAUAUUGGGCAAUGGGCGAAAGCCCUGACCCAGCAACGCCGCGUGAAGGAAGAAGGCCUUCGGGUUGUAAACUUCUUUUAUGAGGGACGAAGGACGUGACGGUACCUCAUGAAUAAGCCACGGCUAACUACGUGCCAGCCGCCGC
rnacentral:rRNA from 1 species